GACAGAGGGUGCAAACGUUGUUCGGAAUUACUGGGCGUAAAGCGUGUGUAGGCGGUCUCAUAAGUCGGAUGUGAAAGCCCUGGGCUCAACCCAGGAAGUGCACUCGAUACUGCUGUUCUUGAGGAUUGCAGAGGAGACUGGAAUUCCCGGUGUAGCGGUGAAAUGUGUAGAGAUCGGGAGGAACACCGGUGGCGAAGGCGGGUCUCUGGGCAAUUCCUGACGCUGAGGCGCGAAAGCGUGGGGAGCAAACGGG
rnacentral:rRNA from 1 species